GUUAUUACUAUGACGAGGAAUAGUAGAUAUUAAAAUCUUUUCAAAGAGAGGAAGUUAUUGGUGAAAGACUUCUAAAAGAUUAAUAUCAAACCAGCCUCUGAGUUCUGCACCGAAAAUAAUAGUAGGCUGCAGCGGAACCUCACCGUUAAAAUAAUGAGUGAAUAUAUUUUUAUAUAUUAAAUAUAUUAACAAGGGUGGUACCACCGUAAGCUCGGUCCCUAUU
rnacentral:ncRNA from 1 species